CCCUUAGAUGUCCUGGGCUGCACGCGCGCUACACUGAUGUGUCCAGUAAGCACCUAACCUAUUCCGAGAGGAGCGGGUAACCUUAGCAAAGCACAUCGUGAUGGGGAUAGAUUAUUGCAAUUAUUAGUCUUGAACGAGGAAUUCCUAGUAAGCACAAGUCAUCAGCUUGUGUUGAUUACGUCCCUGCCCUUUGUACACACCGCCCGUCGCACCUACCGAUUGGAUGGUCCGGUGAAGCCUCGGGAUUGUGGUUCUUGCCGCUUUAUUGUGGCGUGACCGCGAGAACUUGUCUAAACCUUAUCAUCUAGAGGAAGGUGAAGUCGUAACA
rnacentral:rRNA from 1 species